rnacentral:rRNA from 1 species
AUUGAACGCUGGCGGCAGGCCUAACACAUGCAAGUCGAACGAGUGGCGGACGGGUGAGUAAUGUCUGGGAAACUGCCUGAUGGAGGGGGAUAACUACUGGAAACGGUAGCUAAUACCGCAUACCAUCAGAUGUGCCCAGAUGGGAUAAGCUAGUUGGUGGGGUAAUGGCUCACCUAGGCGACGAUCCCUAGCUGGUCUGAGAGGCUGACCAGCCACACUGGAACUGAGACACGGUCCAGACUCCUACGGGAGGCAGCAGUGGGGAAUAUUGCGCAAUGGGCGCAAGCCUGAUGCAGCCAUGCCGCGUGUGUGAAGAAGGCCUUCGGGUUGUAAAGCACUUUCAUCGGGGAGGCGUUACUCGCAGAAGAAGCACCGGCUAACUCCGUGCCAGCAGCCGCGGUAAUAC